GUGUAAAGCGAGUUUGGCGUUUCCCACUGUGAUGGUGUUGUUUUUCGCCGCCUGUAGGACUCGUUCCUUGUCGGUGAAUCUCAGGAAACGUAUGGUGAUUGGGCGCGGUGGUUGUCUGGCUGCUGAUGGGGGCCUCAGUGCUCGGUGAGCUCUCUCGAGUUCUAUGGGUCUGUCGGUGGGCAGGUGGAGCCACUCGGGAAGUUUGUCUUGCAGGUAGCGGAUCAGUGGCAUGUUUCCCUCUUAUUUUUCGCCCAGAUUGAAUAGAACACGAUUAUUCCUUCGCCCCCUGUUUUCCAGGUCCUGUUUUCUCUUCCAGAUGCUCGAUUUUCUUUUUAGCAUAUGCUAUUGUUUCCAUGGCAUCUGUCAAUAAGUUUCCCAUGGAUAGGAUUCGCCCCUCUGCCUCGUCCAGGCGCCCCGCGUUUAUGGUUAUCUUGUUGAUGUCAGGCAAUGCGUUUUCCAGGAUUGUCACCUUGCCCCCUAUCGCACUGAGCUGAGAGUUAAUGGCAUCUAAUUUGGUGUUUAGUUCUGUACGUUGGGAUCUCAACUCAGAGAGGAUGUCUUCGACAGAGUGCGAGGUUGGCAUUCGUUGUGCCUUGUGGGGGAGCGGGUUCUCUUGCUCCUGGCUAAUGGCGCUAGUUUUUUCUGAAGCUAGCUUCUUCUUGGAGGCUUUUUCCGUCGCUAAUACUCGAGUCCGGGUAAAAAUAUCACCUGUAGUGUCGCCUUUUGUAGCCGCCAUGACUUUUUCUUACUAAAGCUAAAUGAGUGUGAACUUGGAAUGGAGGUAAGAUUAGGAAUUGGAAACUACUUGUGCGGAGCUCUUAGUUCACGCGGCCAUCUCGUUCAAGGGUCACGUGAUCCCCCGAAUAACAGCUUUCUAAGUGUUUUCUAAUUUGAGUUAUUUAGUUACACUAACCAAGCAUUAGCACAUUGAAUAACAGCUUUCUAAGUGGUUUCUAAUUUGAGUUAUUUAGUUACACUAACCAAGCAUUAGCACAUUGAAUAACAGCUUUCUAAGUGUUUUCUAAUUUGAGUUAUUUAGUUACACUAACCAAGCAUUAGCACAUUGAAUAACAGCUUUCUAAGUGUUUUCUAAUUUGAGUUAUUUAGUUGUCACUUUGUGGCCCAGUCUCCCCUACUAUUCAGACUACAAAGCGUUUUUAGAGGGUGAUGCAUAUAGAAUGAAAAUUGAUGAAAUAAUUCCCAGAAUGUCCUAUUCUUUCUUACUAAGCCCAGGUCAUUAGAAUAAGUACUCUAGCUUUACUUUUGUUAUGACUUUUAUUCUGGGAAUCCCAAGAGUGUGCAAAGCUGCCAUCAAGGCAAAGGGUGGCUAUUUGAAGAAUCUCAAAUGUAAAAUAUAUUUUGAUUUGUUUAACACUUUUUUUGGUUACUACAUGAUUCCAUAUGUGUUAUUUCAUAGUGUUGAUAUCUUCACCAUUAUUCUACAAUGCAGACAAUAGUAAAAAGAAAGAAAAACCCUUGAAUGAGUAGGUGUACUAAAACUUUUGACCGGUAGUGUAAAUUUGCAAACAUUUCUAAAAACCUGUCUUUGCUUUGUCAUUAUGGGGUAUUGUGUGUAGAUUGAUGAGGGGAAAACAUCUAUUUAAGAAAUGUUAGAAUAAGGCUGUAAUGUAACAAAAUGUGGAAAACGUCAAGAGGUCUGAAUACUUUCCGAAUAUACCAGAUGAUACAAGUAGCAAUCCUAUAUUAGGUAGGCCUACUUGUAUAGAUAGGAGGUGGCUGUUGCAAGCAUAGAGGUAGAUACUGUCUGCAGUAUCUAACUCUAUGGUUGCAAGUCAUUACAAGUCAUUAGUUGGCACUGAUUCUCCUCAUAGGCUGUACUAAUAUGAAUUUGACCUAAAAGUCAUGUUACUGGGUGAGUUGUAUCCCAAUUCUCCACCCUUCCACCCUGCACUUGCACACUUUCUUGCAUGAAUUUAGCAAUGCUGGAAACUGCCUCCUGACAAUGCCUACAUUCCUAUCCUAUGCUUUAAAAUCCAUGAUGAGGAGUGAGCAAGUGCACACCAGGAGAAGGGUGGAGAAGUGGGACACAGCCCUUGUGUGCUCUCUUAACCACCUCUAUGCCUAACCAUGUAGCUGAAGCCUAAAGCAAUUUUCUGAUUUAAGUGCUACUAUACGGCAUGGUAGUGUUCAGGGUGGAAUUAAAAUGUAAUUAUAUUCUUAUUGUCGUCCCAUCCUCCACCACUAAGUUAUUGUAUGUGGCAUUUGGUUUGUUGCAAGUCAAGAUCUAUUUGCAAACAGUAGUAAAUAUUGUAAAUUACUAUAUCUAUAUCCCGGGGUAGACAGUUCCCGAGACUGUAAAGGGGCUGAUAAUCUAUGAUAUGGACUGGAAUCAGUCUUAUUCUUCUGAGUUCCUGUUGUCUGAACGGUACAAUAAAUAUUUUGGGAAGACAAUACUUUUCUUUAUUAGCUUAUUUGCUCCAGUCCAGACCUGACAUUGUGCCUUUCAACUUAUCUAUUUUGUGUUCCAACCCUAGCAGCUCCUCCUGCAAACAGGCCCCUUCUGCCUUCCAGAUGCUGCUGACCAAGCUACCUGCCCUCCACCAGACAGGCGGUUCUGGCUGAUGACCUGUCUCCAUAGAUGAGAGAAGCAGAGGAAGAAUAUCACUUCGUCCCCAAUAAUACUACUAAUAUUUCAAAUUGUACUGAUGAGAAAGAGGAGGAUAGACUUACUGUAUAUGUCUUACUAUUCAAACUCAAAAAACUCCUGUGGUUUAUUUUUCAAAUUGGCAUGUUUCGUAUCAUCUGCCGCAAGAGUGAAGAUUUCAUUUCGUUUUAAUUUGGCGUACCCCAGUUUGGGAAUAGGACAGGCAAGGUAAAACGAAAUAAUGGAUGCAGCUAUGGUGGUAGCUAAUGUCUGAAUCUGACUAACACAGUGAACUAGGAGCAAACGGCGCCACCCAGCCUGAAUCUAAUCCAAUCUGGAGUUUUGGUCAGUCUACAUCUGGAAAGCAUAGAAUUAGGGUUUCCACUAGUUACAGGCACAAAGCCAAAAUUGUCUAUAUCAUAAAAAAUGAAUGAUACUUUUUUAUUUAUUUACUUUUUAUCUUUAUUAAGGUUAGGUUUAAAAUCACAUUUUAAGAAGAUAGAUUGUAGAAAUAGGCAGACUUUAUGACUUUGUGGUUGAGGUAACUAGAGAGACGACCUAGAAUUAGCUUGACCCGAGUUACUGCCCUGAUGACACAGACCACUUCAUUAACAAUGGUAAUGUGUUUUAUGUAAAACGUUUAUAUAAAAAACAACUGGAUUUGAUAAACUAAUGGGUUAAUUACCCACUCAAGAAGCUACAAGUAGUAAUUUUGAAUGUGAAGUGAAUUGUCAAAAAGCUUUGUCCAAAAUGCAAUUGACCACUUGGCUGUCUAUUGUAUCACCCUGUCACAGGCCCUCCCAGGAGGCACCACCUCAUAAGAUGAGGAAGUACGUUGUUUAUAAGGAUUCCCUGCUGCAGUUGUUUGAGAGAUGUCCAGUUUUAAUACACAUCACUGCAUCCUGUAUCAAAAAGUUGGCUGGUCCUCAUUACAUUUUCAUAUAUCACUCAAUUACUCCCUUUUUGUUUACAAAGCUCUACUAUACAAGCUUCCGACUUACCUAACUUCGUUGUUUAAGUAUAAAAACAUGACUUACCAUACCUGCUCACGGGGUUGGUUAACUCUUGAGAUUCCUCGGGUCUCCAAUGAGCUAGGUAAAUCUACUUUUAGUUUUAACGCUCCACAUUUUUGGAAUCAUUUACAAAAUUCAUUACAUUUGAUACAUUCAUUCACUCAAUGUACCACUAAGGCAGUUUAAAAGCCUAAUGAUGAGGUCACUGAGGUGUGCAAUUGUUUUGAUUGAUUGAAUUUAAUAAUUUGUCUGAAGCCUGUGAUAUUUGUGAUGUUCUAACGUACUUGUUAUUAUAUCUUGUAUCUUGUAGUUUUAUCUUUUAUUUUAUGUUCUCAGGGCACCAUUUAAAAUGAGACCCUGGGCUCCUCUGAUUAAAUAAAAGUGAAUAAAAAAUCAAA